rnacentral:rRNA from 1 species
UACAGAGGGGGCAAGCGUUGUUCGGAAUUACUGGGCGUAAAGGGCGCGUAGGCGGCCUGUUAAGUCGAACGUGAAAUCCCCGGGCUCAACCCGGGAACUGCGUCCGAUACUGGCAGGCUUGAAUCCGGGAGAGGGAUGCGGAAUUCCAGGUGUAGCGGUGAAAUGACGUAGAUAUCUGGAGGAACACCGGUGGCGAAGGCGGCAUCCUGGACCGGCAUUGAC